GACGAACGCUGGCGGCGUGCUUAACACAUGCAAGUCGAACGGAAAGGCCCUGCUCUUGUGGGGUGCUCGAGUGGCGAACGGGUGAGUAACACGUGAGUAACCUGCACUUGACUUUGGGAUAACUUCAGGAAACUGGGGCUAAUACCGGAUAGGAGCUCCUGCUGCAUGGUGGGGGUUGGAAAGUUUCGGCGGUUGGGGAUGGACUCGCGGCUUAUCAGCUUGUUGGUGAGGUAGUGGCUUACCAAGGCUUUGAAGGGUAGCCGGCCUGAGAGGGUGAACGGCCACAUUGGGCCUGAGAGACGGCCCAGUCUCCUACGGGACGCAGUAGUGGGGAAUAUGGCACAAUGGGGGGAAGCCUGAUGCAGCGACGCCGCGUGCGGGAUGCCGGCCUUCGGGUUGUAAACCGCUUUCGCCUGUGACGAAGCGUGAGUGACGGUAAUGGGUAAAGAAGCACCGGCUAACUACGUG
rnacentral:rRNA from 1 species